CACGUUAAAACACUUAUUCCCAUAAGAUCAUUGAAGUUAAGCAACGUUGAGCCUAGUCAGAUGGGUAACCACAUGGGAAUACCAAGUGCUGUAAG